rnacentral:rRNA from 1 species
AGAGUUUGAUCAUGGCUCAGGACGAACGCUGGCGGCACGCUUAACACAUGCAAGUCGAACGAGAGAAGAGGAGCUUGCUUUUCUGAUCUAGUGGCGGAUGGGUGAGUAACACGUGAGCAAUCUGCCUUUCAGAGGGGGAUACCGAUUGGAAACGAUCGUUAAUACCGCAUAACAUAAUUGAACCGCAUGAUUUGAUUAUCAAAGAUUUAUCGCUGAAAGAUGAGCUCGCGUCUGAUUAGCUAGUUGGUAAGGUAACGGCUUACCAAGGCGACGAUCAGUAGCCGGACUGAGAGGUUGAUCGGCCACAUUGGGACUGAGACACGGCCCAGACUCCUACGGGAGGCAGCAGUGGGGAAUAUUGCACAAUGGAGGAAACUCUGAUGCAGCGAUGCCGCGUGAGGGAAGAAGGUUUUAGGAUUGUAGACCUCUGUCUUCAGGGACGAAAAAAGACGGUACCUGAGGAGGAAGCUCCGGCUAACUACGUGCCAGCAGCCGCGGUAAUACGUAGGGAGCGAGCGUUGUCCGGAAUUACUGGGUGUAAAGGGAGCGUAGGCGGGAUCGCAAGUCAGAUGUGAAAACUAUGGGCUUAACCCAUAAACUGCAUUUGAAACUGUGGUUCUUGAGUGAAGUAGAGGUAAGCGGAAUUCCUAGUGUAGCGGUGAAAUGCGUAGAUAUUAGGAGGAACAUCAGUGGCGAAGGCGGCUUACUGGGCUUUAACUGACGCUGAGGCUCGAAAGCGUGGGGAGCAAACAGGAUUAGAUACCCUGGUAGUCCACGCCGUAAACGAUGAUUACUAGGUGUGGGGGGACUGACCCCUUCCGUGCCGCAGCAAACGCAAUAAGUAAUCCACCUGGGGAGUACGACCGCAAGGUUGAAACUCAAAGGAAUUGACGGGGGCCCGCACAAGCAGUGGAGUAUGUGGAUUAAUUCGAAGCAACGCGAAGAACCUUACCAGGUCUUGACAUCGUAUGCAUAGCUCAGAGAUGAGUGAAAUCUCUUCGGAGACAUAUAGACAGGUGGUGCAUGGUUGUCGUCAGCUCGUGUCGUGAGAUGUUGGGUUAAGUCCCGCAACGAGCGCAACCCUUACUGUUAGUUGCUACGCAAGAGCACUCUAGCAGGACUGCCGUUGACAAAACGGAGGAAGGUGGGGAUGACGUCAAAUCAUCAUGCCCCUUAUGACCUGGGCCUCACACGUACUACAAUGGCUGUCAACAGAGGGAAGCAAAGCCGCGAGGUGGAGCGAACCCCUAAAAGCAGUCUUAGUUCGGAUUGUAGGCUGCAACCCGCCUACAUGAAGUCGGAAUUGCUAGUAAUCGCAGAUCAGCAUGCUGCGGUGAAUACGUUCCCGGGCCUUGUACACACCGCCCGUCACGCCAUGGGAGUCGGUAACACCCGAAGCCUGUAGUCUAACCGCAAGGAGGACGCAGUCGAAGGUGGGAUUGAUGACUGGGGUGAAGUCGUAACAAGGUA